rnacentral:misc_RNA from 1 species
GAUACAUACAAAAUGAUAUGCUCUGGGCAUACUACUAACAAAACCAUCGUCCACCAUUAUGCAACUAGUGACUUUCCCUUGAAUUUCAACUUUAAUGAACAGAGCUCUAUUGUGGUCUCUCCCAUCUCUCGGCAAAUCGGCAUCAGUAAAUAAAAUUCCUUCUUUGUUCCCAAUUUGUACAGAGUUUGCUAACUCUUCUGAAGUAGAAUCAGUAUUCAUAGUCAUAGGCAUCAAGGCAAUAACUAAACUUCUUUAAUGGACUUUUGAUUGUUUCAAUAACUUCCAAAGAGACACACUAACGAGAGUCCUCUUUAAUUGCUUCACGAGUGAAUUUUGCUUUAUUGCAUUGUCUCCUUCAUCUCUUUCCAUGGUCUUACUAUCACAUUUCUUUCCAUCAGCAUCUUCAUAGGCUAUUUCUUUUCCUUUAUCAACAUCAAUUCUCCCAUAAAGGCAUCCACUUUGUGUUACAUUUUCCAUAGCCAAGUCAUCCUCACUAGAAUCUCCCCAAACAUCAACAGCAGCCUUGCAUACUUUGCUCUCAGAAUCAGAGCUGUCCCAAACAUUAACAGGUCAAACUUCAGCCUGUAAGGCCACAAUCUUGUACAGGCAUUCCUCUCCAAUUACCCAAUCUUCCCCA